AAGCGCUUGCAACCAGACUUAGUUGCGGCCGAUCAUCUAGGGUUCUCCCUGGUGCACUCGGUCGUAUCUAGGCCAGCAUCGGUUCGGGUGGUGGGAUAAAGGCCUUGGGAAUGUAGCUUCUUUCGGGGAGUGUUAUAGCCCUCGGUGCAAUGCCGCCUACCUGGACCGAGGACCGCGCUUCGGCUAGGAUGCUGGCGUAAUGGUUGUAAGCGA
rnacentral:rRNA from 1 species